rnacentral:rRNA from 1 species
GUAGGGAAUUUUGCGCAAUGGGCGAAAGCCUGACGCAGCAACACCGCGUGAGCGAUGAAGCCCCUUGGGGUGUAAAGCUCUGUCAGUGGGGACGAAACCUGACGGUACCCACAGAGGAAGCAUCGGCUAACUACGUGCCAGCAGCCGCGGUAAGACGUAGGAUGCAAGCGUUGUCCGGAAUCAUUGGGCGUAAAGAGUUCGUAGGUGGCAUGUCAAGUCUAGUGUUAAAGCCCGGGGCUCAACUCCGGAUCGGCACUGGAUACUGGCAAGCUAGAGUGCAGUAGAGGCAAGGGGAAUUCCUAGUGUAGCGGUGAAAUGCGUAGAUAUUAGGAGGAACACCAGUGGCGUAAGCGCCUUGCUGGGCUGUAACUGACGCUGAGGAACGAAAGCCAGGGGAGCAAAUGGGAUUAGAAACCCGGGUAGUCC